rnacentral:rRNA from 1 species
UACGAGAGGCCCAAACGUUAUUCGGAAUUACUGGGCUUAAAGAGUUCGUAGGCGGCAUGAAAAGUAGGGUGUGAAAGCCCUCGGCUCAACCGAGGAAUUGCGCUCUAAACUGUCGUGCUAGAGGAAGCUAGAGGUGAGCGGAACUGAUGGUGGAGCGGUGAAAUGCGUUGAUAUCAUCAGGAACACCGGAGGCGAAGGCGGCUCACUGGGGCUUUUCUGACGCUGAGGAACGAAAGCCAGGGGAGCGAACGGG